UACGUAGGGGGCAAGCGUUGUCCGGAAUCAUUGGGCGUAAAGCGCGCGUAGGCGGCCCGAUAAGUCCGCUGUAAAAGUCCAGGGCUCAACCCUGGAAUGCCGGUGGAUACUGUCGGGCUAGAGUCCGGAAGAGGCGAGUGGAAUUCCUGGUGUAGCGGUGGAAUGCGCAGAUAUCAGGAGGAACACCGGUGGCGAAGGCGGAUCUCUGGGCCAUUACUGACGCUGAGGAGCGAAAGCGUGGGGAGCGAACAGG
rnacentral:rRNA from 1 species